rnacentral:rRNA from 1 species
GCAUGUGUAAGUAUAAAUAAUUUUACUUUGAAACUGCGAAUGGCUCAUUAUAUCAGUUAUAGUUUAUUAGAAAUACUUUACUACUUGGAUAACCGUAGUAAUUCUAGGGCUAAUACAUGACUAAAUCCUCAACUUCGGAAGAGGUGUGUUUAUUAGUAUGAAAACCAUAUAUCUUCGGAUAUAAUAGUGAGUAAUAAUAACCUUUCGUAUCGUAUGUCGUAAGAUAACGAUAGUUCUUUCAAGUUUCUGCCCUAUCAGCUUUCGAUGGUAGUAUAUGGGACUACCAUG